rnacentral:rRNA from 1 species
CCUACGGGAGGCAGCAGUGGGGAAUAUUGGGCAAUGGGCGCAAGCCUGACCCAGCAACGCCGCGUGAAGGAAGAAGGCUCUCGGGUUGUAAACUUCUUUUAUCAAGGACGAAACAAAUGACGGUACUUGAUGAAUAAGCCACGGCUCACUACGUGCCAGCAGCCGCGGAUAUACGUAGGUGGCAAGCGUUAUGCGGUUUUACUGGGUGUAAAGGGCGUGUAGGCGGGACUGCAAGUCGGUUGUGAAAACCAUGGGCUUAACACAGGGCCUGCAUUUGACACUGGAGUUCUUGAGUGUUGGAGAGGCAGGCGGAAUUCCGAGUGUAGCGGUGAAAUGCGUAGAUAUAAGGAGGAACACCAGUGGCGAAGGCGACCUGCUGGACAGUAACUGACGCUGAGGCGCGAAAGCGUGGGGAGCAAACAGGAUUAGAUACCCGGGUAGUC